CGUACACUCCUGCGGGAGGCAGCAGUGGGGAAUAUUGGACAAUGGGCGCAAGCCUGAUCCAGCCAUGCCGCGUGAGUGAUGAAGGCCCUAGGGUUGUAAAGCUCUUUCACCGGUGAAGAUAAUGACGGUAACCGGAGAAGAAGCCCCGGCUAACUUCGUGCCAGCAGCCGCGGUAAUCCGAAGGGGGCUAGCGUUGUUCGGAUUUACUGGGCGUAAAGCGCACGUAGGCGGACUAUUAAGUCAGGGGUGAAAUCCCGGGGCUCAACCCCGGAACUGCCUUUGAUACUGGUAGUCUUGAGUUCGAGAGAGGUGAGUGGAAUUCCGAGUGUAGAGGUGAAAUUCGUAGAUAUUCGGAGGAACACCAGUGGCGAAGGCGGCUCACUGGCUCGAUACUGACGCUGAGGUGCGAAAGCGUGGGGAGCAAACAGGAGUAGAAACCCGUGUAGUCCCA
rnacentral:rRNA from 1 species